GGAGGCCUUUCUGGAGAGUCAUGAGAGAGCAGAGGUUAAGUGUCUCUGUCUCCAAUCAUUUCUUUCUGUGCAUCUCUUCUCUCCUCCAAUACUUUCUGGCUAUGUUAUUCCACCAAUGUCAUAUGCCCUAUGUCCACCUAUAUUAUGGUGGCCAUAAUAUAGGUUCUAAGUUAUCUCUCUAUCUGGUUAACCAGGUCUAGCAUAGCAUAGGGUGGCUGUAGGCACAGGUAAAGUAGCCCAUGACAGGCAGAGGUUGGGGUCAUUUACUUUAUUUUGAGUUUCACUGUAUCCCAGCAUGUGGUGAAGCCCUGGCACUCAGUUUCUACUGGGUGAGUGCCUGCUACAUGCCAGGCAUUGUGCUAGCUGCUGGGUAUUAAAAGAUGAAAGGCAGUACAGCCCUUUCAUGUACUAGCUCAGUGACCUGGGCUAGAUAAUUCACUCUCAGCAGAAAUGUCUUCAUUUUCAAAGAGGGCUGAUGCCCAUUCUAUAAAGCUGUUGUAAGGACAAAAUAGAUAAAAGUUCUAGUACAGUCCUUUGU
rnacentral:lncRNA from 1 species